UACGUAGGGUGCGAGCGUUAAUCGGAAUUACUGGGCGUAAAGCGUGCGCAGGCGGUGAUGUAAGACAGAUGUGAAAUCCCCGGGCUCAACCUGGGAACUGCAUUUGUGACUGCAUCGCUGGAGUGCGGCAGAGGGGGAUGGAAUUCCGCGUGUAGCAGUGAAAUGCGUAGAUAUGCGGAGGAACACCGAUGGCGAAGGCAAUCCCCGUGGGCCUGCACUGACGCUCAUGCACGAAAGCGUGG
rnacentral:rRNA from 1 species